AUGUCCAUGUCAGGCACACGCACACUUGUGAUUAUUUUCAAUUUAUUCAUUUUUUCAAAUUAUUACCGGUGUCAGCAUGUCAAUGUCUGUGUUGUGUCCAGUGUCUCUGUCCAGUGUCUGUGCUUCAUAGUUCAUGCACACUUAAAUAACCAAAAUAUUAAGCUAUCAAUACAAUCAUGGUUUUCAUAUAUAUCAGACACACAAAAUUUAAAAAACAAACCAUUGCUCUCUAUAACCUAUACUCAACAACAGAUCCGAUUCCAUUAA